UACGGAAGGUGCAAGCGUUGCUCGGAAUCACUGGGCGUAAAGGGUGCGUAGGCGGCCGUGCAAGUCUGGCGUGAAAGCCCCGGGCUCAGCCCGGGAAGUGCGCUCGAAACUGCGAGGCUCGAGUGCCGGAGGGGAGAGUGGAAUUCCUGGUGUAGCGGUGAAAUGCGUAGAUAUCAGGAGGAAUACCGAUGGCGAAAGCGACUCUCUGGACGGCAACUGACGCUGAGGCACGAAAGCCAGGGGAGCAAACGGG
rnacentral:rRNA from 1 species